UAAUACGGAGGGUGCAAGCGUUAAUCGGAAUUACUGGGCGUAAAGCGCGCGUAGGCGGUCUAGUCAGUCGGAUGUGAAAGCCCAGGGCUCAACCUUGGAAUUGCAUUCGAUACUGCUUGACUAGAGUAUGGUAGAGGGAAGUGGAAUUUCCGGUGUAGCGGUGAAAUGCGUAGAUAUCGGAAGGAACACCAGUGGCGAAGGCGACUUCCUGGGCCAAUACUGACGCUGAGGUGCGAAAGCGUGGGUAGCGAACAGGAUUAGAUACCCUGGUAGUCCACGCCGUAAACGAUGAGAACUGGAUGUCGGGAGGAUUACCUUUCGGUGUCGCAGCUAACGCGUUAAGUUCUCCGCCUGGGGAGUACGGUGGCAACACUA
rnacentral:rRNA from 1 species